AUUAAAAUCGCUUAAUGUGGCUGUAUGUUUUUGGUAUGUAUCUUGAAUUAUGGUAUUGGCUGGGUGUUGAGCAUGUGUGUAUGUCAGUGAUGUAUAAAUGUGAUGUUUAUGACUGUAUUGGUAUGGAAAAUGGUAUGUAGAGUUUAUUUGAGUUUUUAUUGCUGCAGGGGGCUGUUUGGAUUGGAAAUUGGCGGACCGGUUUCUUAUAAUUGCAAGGAUGCUGCUUCAGUAGGUUAUGGCAGGGUUGAUUUUGGUUUGUAGUCAAGUUGAACAAUAGUAAAUGGCUGCCCUUUUUAACUAGUUUGGUCAUGAUGAAGAUGAAGUGGAUUAAUCAGCUUGGAGGAUUGAAGAAAUGAAGAGAAAUAGGUUUAGGAUGUAGUGAAUAGAAAGUCAAAAGACCAAUGGUUACAAAUUUGUAAUAAUAAUUUCCUGUACUUUCCCUUUUUCACGUAAUUUCACUUUAUAGUUGAAUACUCCUUGAAUGUGUGUAAUGUUGCUUGUAUAA